AUGCUUCCCCUCCUCCGCUCCCGCCCCUCCGCUUCCCGCCUCCGCUGCCGCUUCCUCUCCGCCCUUGCAGCGGGCGGGACGCCUCCGCCGCCGCGGUCCGGCCUAGUGUACGGGUUCGGUGACAACAGCCACGGGGCCGUGGGCCAGCCUGCGCCGGCCGCGGACGUCUACGUCCCCACGCCCGUGCCCUCCCUCCCGUCGUCCGUCGAUGCGGUCGCAGCCGGACACUACCACUCCCUCGCUGUAUCCUCUGCCGGGGAGGUCUGGGCGUGGGGGCGCAACGAAGAGGGCCAGCUCGGCCGCGGGCUCCAGGCCCCGAGGAAUACUUGGAGCAAUCCAGAACAGGUGAGAGGAUUGGAGAAUGUUCAAGUUCGAGCUGUAUCCGCUUCAGGUGUUGUUUCUGCAGCAAUUGGGUGCGAUGGCUCGUUAUGGGUAUGGGGGAGAUCAAAGCGUGGCCAACUUGGGCUUGGCAAAGACAUUGUGGAGGCCACAAUGCCUUCUAGAGUGGAGGCCCUUGCUGGUUACGAUGUUGUUAAGGUAUCAUUUGGAUGGGGGCAUGCCAUGGCACUGACAAAGGAUGGAGGGCUGUUCGGUUGGGGUUUUUCAGAAAAUGGAAGGUUAGGAGAUAUGGGUCAAAGUACCGAAGCACCUUCUCCACAAGAAUACGUUGGGAAAACAAAGGAUAACUAUUCAAGUUCAAUGUUGGAGGCUGUUGAAAAGAUGGUUGCGGACAAAAUUCGGAGCGAGGACAAUAUGCCCAUCAUCUGGGAACCUUCUCUUGUUCAUGAAGUGACUCAUCUUGACGUGUCUGAUGUUUCCUGUGGGCUUGAUCAUUCCCUGAUUCUCGGCUCUAAUGGCACUGUACUGAGUGGUGGAGACAACACUUAUGGACAACUUGGUAGGAAGUCAGGCUGGGCCAAAUUGCUUCCCGUCGACAUAAGCUACAUCCCAUUCUCUGUGUCAGCGAGUGCUGGCCACUCACUUGCUCUGUGCCAUAUAUCAACCAAAGGCACUGACAAUGUUAAAACUGGUGUCCUAUCAUGGGGAUGGAACUGCAGCUCCCAGCUUGGACGACCUGGUCAAGAGGAUGCCCCAGCACUAGUCAACUAUCUGGUUGGUGAGAACCCAAUAACAGCUGCAGCUGGCCGUGUUCAUUCCAUUGUUCUCAUGUCGAACGGAGAUGUUUGGGCUUGGGGAUCUGGACGAAAUGGCAGACUAGGUUUGGGCAGUUCAAUGGAUGAGGCAGAGCCUUGUCUCGUCGAUACCUUGGAAGGAGUAGAGGUCUUACAAGUCGCCACAGGCAUGGACCAUAAUCUCAUAUUGGUUAAAGAAUAG
rnacentral:rRNA from 1 species